rnacentral:rRNA from 1 species
AAUAGUUGCACAAUGGGCGCGAAGCCUGAUGCAGCCAUGCCGCGUGUAUGAAGAAGCCGUUACGGGUUGUUAAAGUACUUUACAGCAGUGAGGAAGGUGGAUAUGUUAAUAGCAUAUUCAUUUGACGUUAGCUGCAGAAGAAAGCACCGGCUAACUCCGUGCCAGCAGCCGCGGUAAUACGGAGGGUGCGAGCGUUAAUCGGAAUUACUGGGCGUAAAGCGCAUGCAGGUGGUUUGUUAAGUCAGAUGUGAAAGCCCGGGGCUCAACCUCGGAAUUGCAUUUGUAAACUGGCAAACUAGAGUACUGUAGAGGGGGGUAGGAAUUUCAGGUGUAGCGGUGAAAUGCGUAGAGAUCUGAAGGAAUACCGGUGGCGAAGGCGGCCCCCUCGGACAGAUACUGACACUCAGAUGCGAAAGCGUGGGGAGCAAACAGGAUUAGAUACCCUGGUAG